AUAUAUAUUAAGUUUUAAAUAUAUCAAAUCCCAUAUACGGAUAUAUUUAAAUUUUUUCUUAAGGGUUAUCGUCCCAAAACCUCCGGAAGGGCCAAGUCCAUCAUGUCAACCUAUCAAGACAACUCUUUUGAGCCUCAAACCCUACGGGCCUUCGGGCUUUUAACGGCCCUCUGGAGUCGUCUUUUUUACUCCAUGUUGGAAGAUUUAUUUCACAUCAAUACUCAAAUAGUUGCAUUCGCCCUAAAGUAUCAACAAUUCGUUGUUGACCAUUAGUUCAAGAUUGACCAUAAUAUGCUAUUGCGAUUAUUGUAACUAAUUUGGAAAAAAGUACAAUUUGGACAUUGAUAGUAUAUUCUUCAUGGGUACCAUUGGUUCAAGAUUGACCAUAAUAUGCUAUUGCGACGGUUCAUGAUUGACCAUAAUAUGCUAUUGCGAUUAUUGUAACUAAUUGUUUGGUUAAAUUUGUGACGCCUCAACUUUACAUUAUAAUUCAUCCCUUCCAUAUAUUCACCAUAUAUUGGAAAAAAGUACAAUUUGGACAUUGAUAGUAUAUUCUUCAUGGGUUAGAUCGGGAGCUUGAUAUACUUAUUCAUCAUACAUUGGAAAAAAAGUACAAUUUGGGCAUCGAUAGUAUAUUCUUCUUGGAUUAGAUCGGGAGCUUGAUAUACUUACGUUGCACUGUGGAUAGGUUCGCCGUGGAUAUAGUUGUAGUUCAAAGGUGUAGACUUGCAUCCCAAUUUCAUAAGAAGUAAACAAAGGAAAUUAAUUAUUUUCCCUCGAUAGCAUGAAACAAUGGAAAAAAAAUUCUCACACUGAAUGCUUUUCAAUCACUAACAAUUUGUAGAGUAAAAAAAUAAGCCUAUUCAAACCAGAUACGCUUGAAAGUUCAAGCAACCAAUAACAAUUUAUACAUGAUGCGCAUAGUAGGAAUGAGUAGGUACGGAAGAAAUAAUGGAAUCACGUGGUAUGGUUUGGUGAUCCAACGGAAAGGCUUGCAGACGAUACAAAUGAGCAGCACGGAAAUAGCUCAAGGUUUUGGAGAGAAACCAAUGAUGUUAUACAUUUAAUCAAUAUAGAUAUAUACCUUAAAAAAUAAGGUAUACACUCCUUGUAUAUAACAUACAUAAGACAACGAAUAAAAUAAAGAUAAAGCAAACAAUAACAAUUUAUACAUGAUGCGCAUAGUAGGAAUGAGUAGGUACGGAAGAAAUAAUGGAAUCACGUGGUAUGGUUUGGUGAUCCAACGGAAAGGCUAGCAGACAAUACAAAUGAGCAGCACGAAAAUAGCUCAAGGUUUUGGAGAGAAACCAAUGAUGUUAUACAUUUAAUCAAUAUAGAUAUAUACCUUCAAAAAUAAGGUAUACACUCCUUGUAUAUAACAUACAUAAGACAACGAAUAAAAUAAAGAGAUUUCAAUCACUAACAGAUACAUUCAAGCUGACGAGCAACUAAAGCAAAGACAAUAGUAAUGGACGAUCCCAUGGAGGGGAUAGGAGCAUCAACACAUGGUGAAACAGAAGUUACAUGGUACAUCAUGAUAACUAAUUGCUAACAUAUUUUCCUCUUUGAUACAUAGCCUUAAUUGCAAACUAGAAAUAAUACACAUCAAUUUGCAUCCAAUAUAAACAAACAACGUUCGAAACAAAUAACAGAUCCAUAACAUAGUCAAGACUAUUCACUAGAACAAAAAGACUCUGAGAAAUCCAUUUAUGGUUGGCAAGUCAUUGCCUCAUGCCAACAAAUGGCUGAAUGAGAUUUCAAACAAGCAACAGAGAUCGAUAAUGAAAUUUCUACAACCGGUUUGCAAUCACCUAAGAGUAUAGCAUCAACCUUCAUGCAUGUCUAAGCUAGCACUUACUGAAUGAAAAGACAACUUCAAUGAGAUUGCUAUGAGCACUAAACACUAGAUUAGAUACCAUAGGCCUAGUGCCAACAAAUGGCUGAAUGAGAUUCCAAACAAGCAACAGAGAUCGAUAAUGAAAUUUCUACAACCGGUUUGCAAUCACCUAGGAGUAUAGCAUCUACCUUCAUGCAUGUCUAAGCUAGCACUUAUUGAAUGAAAAGACAACUUCAAUGAGAUUGCUAUGAGCACUAAACACUAGAUUAGAUACCAUAGGCCUAGUGCUUUCAUAGUUCACAUAUGACAUUAAUAGUGUCAAGACACAGACCUGAUGUAUCUAUAAAAAAAAAAUGUUUCAACAAGUUGAUCAUGCCUAACAAAUUUAAGAAUUUUACUAGUGAGACUGCAUGCUAUUGUGUCUCCUUACCACAAGAAUCACUUUUAGAAACCACAACCCAUAGUCCCCAAACCACGUAUUAAGAUAACCCAAAAGUCACAAUUUCAUAAGUACUUAUAUAACUUACGAAUAUCCUCCAAAAAAUCCGCCCAUCACAUCACACAUUGUGCAUAAAGUACACAAUGUACUCAAAAUUCUUCACAUACGAAUCAAAUUGAAGCCCACAUAUGAAUCAAAUUCAGGCCCAUCAGUAUACUUUUCCAUUGAAAUAUCAAGUAUAAUGUGAACUUUAACAGUAACCAUUUCCAUUGAAAUAACAAUGAUAAUAGGUCUGCUAAUGUAUUAAAAAAAAAAUGCCAUUGAAAAAGAAAUAGCCCUAAAAAAUAGUGAUGACAGAAAAAUAGGAUGAGCACAUAUGAUUCAAAUUCAAGCCCAUCAGUAGACUUAUCCAUUGAAAUAUUACGGAUAAUGGGAACAUCAUCACUAACCUUUUCCAUUGAAAUAACAAUGUUAAUUUUCUUUUUCAUUUUUAUUUUGGGCAUUUGGUCACAGGCCUCCAAUUGAAGACAAAAGAAAAAAUACUCGAUUUUAGUGAAAUAUGGUUCAUUUGAUUCAUUAUUCGUUAAAUAAUUACAUUUUUGGUUCAAUUAUUUGGAUUAAAGCCUAGUUUUGUGUAGAUCAUGCCCCAACAUUUAGGAUCUCUGAGCUUGAUAUUUUGAAAAUACAGUACUAAUACAAACCCAUCUCCUAUUUUUCAAAGCAAAAAACGCAGGGUUACACCAUUAGAACAAACAUCCUAUUUUCAUAGCAAACACAUGUUUCAUAGCAAAAAAACCAGAUUUACAACAUUAGAACAAACAUCCUAUUUUUUAUAGCAAAAAAUGCAGAUCAGUAAUGAAUACCCCAAAUGCAAACUAGCAAAGAAACCAGAUUUACAGCAUUAGAACAAACAUCCUAAUUUUCAUAGCAAAAAACACAGAUCAAUAAUGAAUACCCCAAAUGCAAACUAGCAAAAAAACCAUAUUUACAGCAUUAGAACAAACAUCCUAUUUUUCAUAGAAACAAAUGCAUAUCAGUAAUGAAUACCCCAAAUGCAAACUCAUCACGGGGUUUUCAAAACAAAAAACAUGAACAAUCCAUUCUAUUUGUACCUUUGUGACUGCGAUUAUGAUAGGGCUUUCACUUCUGUUCUCGUAUGAGAGGCGUAGAGAGAGGGAGACGUCAGUUUGGUAGGGCUUACUCUGUAUUUCUGGUUUAGAGAGAGAGAGAGGGUGUAUUAGGGCUCAUGUAGUUCGUGAAAGAUAGAAGAAACUGGAGAUAGGCUCCUCUCGUUUUAGAUAGAGAAAGGGAAUGGUUUUUGAUUUUGUGUGGUUUAGAGAGAGAGAGGGAGUGGAUGCAUCGGUAGAGAGAGAGAGAGAUGGAGUAUGAGAAGGGCUUGAGCCUGGUAGGCCUGCCAUCUCUACACGGUAGGUGGGAGUGUAGGCGGGAGUUUGCAGGCCUAAGCUGUCUCCAUUUCAAAUCGAGUUUCACUUCUGCAGCUAGUGUUUCUCCUUUUGAAUGAGGACCCUUGAUUUUAACCCCGUUAAUUCGGGCCGUUGGCGCACCACAACCACAUACGCCAAUGGGCAUAUCCCAUAUUUUCCUCUAUAUAUAUAUAUAUA
rnacentral:lncRNA from 1 species